AUCCAGCCGACGAGUCUCAAAUAGGACGAAACGCGCGUUCUGGAU
rnacentral:hammerhead_ribozyme from 1 species